UACGGAGGGUGCAAGCGUUAUCCGGAUUCACUGGGUUUAAAGGGUGCGUAGGCGGGCAGGUAAGUCAGUGGUGAAAUCCUUGAGCUUAACUCGAGAACUGCCAUUGAUACUAUCUGUCUUGAAUACCGUGGAGGUGAGCGGAAUAUGUCAUGUAGCGGUGAAAUGCUUAGAUAUGACAUAGAACACCAAUUGCGAAGGCAGCUCACUACACGAAUAUUGACACUGAGGCACGAAAGCGUGGGGAUCAAACAGG
rnacentral:rRNA from 1 species